AGACACAGGCAGAGGGAGAAGCAGGCCCCAUGCAGGGAGCCCCACGCAGGACUCAAUUCCGGGACCCCAGGAUCACGCCCUGGGCUGAAGGCAGAUGCUCAACCGCUGAGCCACCCGGGCGUCCCUACCAUCCCUUUUAAAUAUGGUAACUGGUGGCCAAGUUUUGCUAAAAACAGACCCAGGGUGAGAAAUCCUUGGACGCAGACGAGGAGGAGCUGCCUACAGCAGGUUAAGUUUGGGGAACGUUGUCUCUGCUUUCCUCCCCCUCCGGGGAAAGACUCGGAGCGCACAACCCCUGGGAAAACCUGAAAGCAAGUGCAGCUUGAGAAGGACCAUCUCUGCAGCCGCCUUUCCUCCAGGGAAAGACCGGGGGUUUAAAAUCCCCUGAAACGAGCCCAGCCCUUGCUCCAUUGGCUUGAGAAAAGCCUCUUUUAUUCUCCCCAGCCGCUUGGACGAAAGCCCUGGUUGGUGUCCCUUCCUCCCUCCUCCCCGCGGGCAUCUCCUUUAAAAGCUUUUGAAAGGGCCCGGAGAGGAGGCAGCCACAGCCGGCCCGGGCCGCCGCCGCCACCGCCGCCACCGCCGCCGCGGGCGACCCGCAUUGCACUCUCACGGCCCAUGGCAACCCCAGAAGCUUUGCAGCUCCUGGGAGGAAUUUGCAGCUGUCAGGGAAGCCCAGGGUUUUGCUGCGACUCCGAGGUAGAUAAGGGGCCCCCUGGGCUUCCUCCUCCUGCGGGGUAGAAGAGAAUAAUCAGGAAGGCGACCCCUUUGCUGACCUUUAUUCAAAGCCCUGUGCUGCUGGACCAACAAGCUCGCACAGAGCAAAAGGAGGGAACUGUGUUGGAAAUGGCCGAAGUUCUGAAUAAAGUGAAUUUACCUGCUGGCCCCUCCCCUUGAUUCACGUUUUAAAUCACGAAAAUUAUAUUUCUGAAUUCAACACUUCCCUAAUUUGCAAGCCGCGAGGUCACAGUGGUGGGGGGCACCCCUGAAAUCCAGUAUCCAUAUUCCUAAUCAGAAAGACUCACUUCCCUCAUCCAAACACUUCAGCUCUAAUAAGCAACCUAUAUAAUCAUAGAUGUCCUAAAAUGAGGUCACCGCUAAUGGUGGGGUGCAACGUUUAAAUGCUUCUGUUUUUAUCUUUUCUCCUCUACUCAUUCUGCUGAGCCUGUCUUUAUUUUUAAAUGCUGAUAGUUUGUUCAUUAUAGAGUUUUUUGCAUUAAUUUCUAUGUUUUAAUAUUGCAUUAAAAUAAUUAUUUCUCUAGUGUGUUUUUAGCACCCCUUUAAAUUUUGUGAUGAAGGCCUGUCCGCCAUCCGGCCGAACAUUGACUGCUCAGUCCCACAGAGUGGCCAGUGUUAAGAUUGAAAAACAUGCUUAGGCCUACCUCAAAAUAAGCUCUCACAUCCCAUUUUUAGACUUAGCCACAGAGCAUUUUAAAAUGUGUGUCUUCUGUAAAAAGUAUUAGAACAGCUCAAUUGACAAGACUUUGGAAAAUGGAAAGAGGUAGCAGAAGUAGAAAGCCAGAUAGAUAGGGCCGGUCUCCCAGAUCUUCAUUUUACAAAGUGAGGAUGUUGGUAAAUACCUACAGGGUUUUUUGUUCAUUUUCCGGAACAAAAAAUAAAGGUGUAAAAUAUUUUUUAAGGACAUAGUAGUCUCGGGGAUCCCUGGGUGGCUCAGCAGUUUAGCGCCUGCCUUUGGCCCAGGGCGUGAUCCUGGAGUCCCGGGAUCGAGUCCCACAUCGGGCUCCCUGCGUGGAGCCUGCUUCUCCCUCUGCCUGUGUCUCUCUCUGUGUGAGUCUCUCAUGAAUAAAUAAAUUUUUAAAAUAUUUAAAAAUAUAUAUAGUAGUCUCUGGGAAAGAUGGGAUGGGGAAGGUGGGCAGAACAAUGUUGCUUUUCACCAAAAACCCUGAUAUACUUUAUUUUUUAAAACUAUGUGCAUGCAUUACUUUGAUUCCUGCCACCCCCUUCUCAAAAAAGUAUCAAGAUCCUCAAAUAAAAUGAGUAAA